GCACUGCUGAGGAGUCCCAUACUAGGACGAAACAGCCGUCCAGUGC
rfam:Schistosoma haematobium scaffold614_10, whole genome shotgun sequence.